GACGAACGCUGGCGGCGUGCUUAACACAUGCAAGUCGAACGGAAAGGCCCUGCUUUUGUGGGGUGCUCGAGUGGCGAACGGGUGAGUAACACGUGAGUAACCUGCCCUUGACUUUGGGAUAACUUCAGGAAACUGGGGCUAAUACCGGAUAGGAGCUCCUGCUGCAUGGUGGGGGUUGGAAAGUUUCGGCGGUUGGGGAUGGACUCGCGGUUUAUCAGCUUGUUGGUGGGGUAGUGGCUUACCAAGGCUUUGACGGGUAGCCGGCCUGGGAGGGUCGCCGGCCACAUUGGGACUGCGAUACGCCCCAGACGCCUACGGGACGCAGCAGUGGAGAAUAUUGCACAAUGGGCGGAAGCCUGAUGCAGCAACGCCGCGUGCGGGAUGACGGCCUUCGGGUUGUAAACCGCUUUCGCCUGUGCCGAAGCGUGAGUGACGGUAAUGGGUAAAGAAGCACCGGCUAACUACGUG
rnacentral:rRNA from 1 species